GCCCACCUCAGCACCCACCUCAGCCCCUCGCCACCCACCUCAGUAUCUCUGCUGCCGCCUCAACGCCUCCUUCCGUCUGCCUCAGCCUCUCACCGCCCUCUCAGCACACCUCGGCCUUCCUGCAGACAGGUCAACAGAAAGGAACUUCAAAAUGGGACUGAAAGGAGGAUCGUUGGAGUGAUGUGUUCAUCUUAUAAGACCUCACCUCCUGGAGUCACAACUAUGACCCAAGGGGACGUGACCUGGAAGGCAGCAGCUCCCUCAGUUUCCACCGAAGAGGCUAUUUCUAUUUCACACCAGGGGGUUUCUUCUUCCUUUCCCAUGCUUUUUUUUCCGCUGGAAAAUGAAUACAGCAACAAGUCAAACCAAUCCCAGCUUUUCAGGAGAAGUUGAACAGAUCACAGCCAAGGUCAUACAUGAAAGUAAAAACUCAUCAGGAUACACACAGGGUCAGAGCGGGGUGUAAGGCUCCCAGCUGCACUCAUCUGAAGUGUGAGGGUCAGUAUAAUAUGCUGAGCCUAUCUUUAAAGAGCAGGUGGCCUUAAAAAUAACAGGAUCCAGGUACCUCGGUAGCUCUUGAUUUUGGUACAGAAAUAAUUAGAGAUCAUUUUCUCAAACAUUUCUCUAGAAAUAUAACAAAACUUUGCUCCACUUGCUUUGAGAUGAGAUUCAGCUCAGAUCAUUUUGCUCUGGAAAUUGAGCUUUUAAGAGCAUUGGUACUUGGUGUGAAAUCACAAGACUAGAGUUUUGAAAGAGCAGAGAAAAUCAAGGCAGCAGCAAAACUACAUCUGUGAUGAAUGAAGUAAAAUCUCUGGAGCAGUCCCUGUAGACUGACUUUAAAGAACUGUAUUUGCAUUUGAUAUUUGUUCUGAGAUGUGAGAUAGGCAUGUGCCAAAGGUACUCUCUUACCACAUCAGGGAGGAAAAUAAAAUUCUGAGGUUGGCCACGGUUUUCCUUUGAGUCCCUUUCUGUGCCUCAUUUAUUUACCUGUAAGUGAGGGAUUACGUUUUCUGUUCACAGCUUUGUCUUUUGUCUUUUUGACUUAGGAUUUCUUUGGACUAGAGAGACUUGUUUAUUAAAGGCUUGGAUGCUACUGUAUUGUACAAAUGAAGAUAAUUAAAACAUUUACAGAUUUCCACAAACAUUCUGAAUGCUAUUAUCCCUACAU